AGUGGCGUACGGGUGAGUAACACGUGGAUCAUCUACCUUUUAGUGGGGAAUACCGUUGGGAAACCGACGACAAUACCGCAUAAUCUCGAGAGAGGAAAGCAGCAAUGCGCUGAAUGAGGAGUCCGCGGUCGAUUAGUUAGUUGGCAGGGUAAAAGCCUACCAAGACUGUGAUCGAUAGCCGGCCUGAGAGGGCACACGGCCACACUGGCACUGAAACACAGGCCAGACUCCUACGGGAGGCAGCAGUGGGGAAUCUUGCACAAUGGAGGAAACUCUGAUGCAGCGACGCCGCGUGAGCGAUGAAGCCCUUCGGGGUGUAAAGCUCUUUCGGCAGGGAAGAUUAUGACGGUACCUGCAGAAGCAGCUGCGGCUAACUACGUGCCAGCAGCCGCGGUAAUACGUAGGCAGCAAGCGUUGUUCGGAGUUACUGGGCGUAAAGGGUGCGUAGGCGGUCUUUUAAGUUUGGUGUGAAAUCUCCCGGCUCAACCGGGAGGGUGCGCCGAA
rnacentral:rRNA from 1 species